rnacentral:misc_RNA from 1 species
GAUGAAGAACGUAGCGAAAUGCGAUAAGUAAUGUGAAUUGCAGAAUUCAGUGAAUCAUCGAAUCUUUGAACGCACAUUGCGCCCCCUGGUAUUCCGGGGGGCAUGCCUGUCCGAGCGUCAUUACAACCCUCAAGCUCAGCUUGGUGUUGGGCCCCGCCGCCCCGGCGGGCCCUAAAGUCAGUGGCGGUGCCGUCCGGCUCCGAGCGUAGUAAUUCUUCUCGCUCUGGAGGUCCGGUCGUGUGCUCGCCAGCAACCCCCAAUUUUUUUCAGGUUGACCUCGGAUCAGGUAGGGAUACCCGCUGAACUUAAGCAUAUCAAUAAGCUGAGGA